rnacentral:rRNA from 1 species
UACGGAGGGUGCAAGCGUUAUCCGGAUUCACUGGGUUUAAAGGGUGCGUAGGAGGGCAGGUAAGUCAGUGGUGAAAUCUUCGAGCUUAACUCGGAAACUGCCGUUGAUACUAUCUGUCUUGAAUACCGUGGAGGUGAGCGGAAUAUGUCAUGUAGCGGUGAAAUGCUUAGAUAUGACAUAGAACACCAAUUGCGAAGGCAGCUCGCUACACGAAUAUUGACUCUGAGGCACGAAAGCGUGGGUAGCAAACAGG